AAAGAAACCUUCUUCAGGCAACCUUCAAAAUUGAAUUCCACAAAAAUGGUUGAUUCUUUGUAUUACAUCUAUUACAACAUGGGUUUCAUGACAGCUCGACACACCCGUACAUGGUUUGAAAUGGGUCAUUUCUAUUGAAAAUCAUCAUGGCGAAAUUCAAAGGUAUAUGUAGUGAUCUGUAAAAUCUGACUUUGUUAUUUACCCAUAAAAGGUCUUGGUCAGAUCCUACUAUAGCUACCACUGUUGAGACAAUUCUUUAACGCCUUUGGUGGCCAUCGAAGAGGAAAUCACCGGCUCCAUAUUUCUCAAUUUCGAUUUAGCACUUGGGAGUCUGCUCCUUCAUUGUUGAACAAGUAGAUUUACAUAUUGCAAGCCAUAGCUUUAGCACAGGUUCGAUUGAAAGAAAAGACAGAGAGCAGCUGUAGAGAUUUUUGAAAUCAUUUGGCUGAUUUGUGUGGAGCUAUGAAGCUACUAGAAUUGGUAGAUGGGCUUGGAUGGAUUUGGG
rnacentral:lncRNA from 1 species